rfam:Capsella rubella cultivar Monte Gargano unplaced genomic scaffold scaffold_3, whole genome shotgun sequence.
GUCACCUUCGAGUACAUCUAACAAAAUGGAACGAUACAGAGAAAAUUAGCAUGGUCCCUGUGCUAGGAUGACACGCAUAAAUUGAGAAAUGGUCCAAAGAAAC